UACGGAGGGUGCAAGCGUUAUCCGGAUUCACUGGGUUUAAAGGGUGUGUAGGCGGGUAUUUAAGUCAGUGGUGAAAUCUCCAGGCUCAACCUGGAAACUGCCAUUGAUACUAUUUAUCUUGAAUAUCGUUGAGGUUGGCGGAAUAUAUCAUGUAGCGGUGAAAUGCAUAGAUAUGAUAUAGAACACCGAUUGCGAAGGCAGCUAACUAAGCGAUUAUUGACGCUGAGGCACGAAAGCGUGGGGAUCAAACAGG
rnacentral:rRNA from 1 species